rnacentral:lncRNA from 1 species
CUGGUUUUAGUUCUGUUCUUUCUCUCCUGUUCUUUGAUGGUGGUAGGUCUAUGUCCAUGGUGUCAAAAUCCAUGCCUUCAUUGAGAUCUUCAAUUCGCCCUUCUGAUGACAUCAUCACAUCUUCAACAAUUGGCUCUUCAUCAUCUUCCAUUAGACUUGUGCCACGCCGAAUAGCAUGUUGCAAGUUGGUUCUCAGCUUGACGUAGUUCAUCGCUGCCCUCUCCUGUUGUUGUCGUGCGGCUUCUUCCUGUUGCCUUUGAGCCAACAUCCACGUUACUUGCGUGUUGUAAUCAAGUGGAGCUUGGUGGUGUUCAGGCUGCAUAGGAUAGACACCCAUAUAAUUCUCUUCAGGUCGCAAUCUCUUGGGCUCCCUCAUUAUUGUGGAAGUAAGCUGAGGUGUCUGCAUCAUGACUGGUGUGUGCAUUGUCUGCUCCCUGUUCAUCCACAUACUGUCACUACUACUGCUUUCUUCAGCUUCAGGUACUUUCCGUUUCCCUGUUGCUGGCUUUGUUUUCUUAUUUCUUACUGUAGAUCCUCGACUGCUAAUUCCACUAAUUACUGACAUAGUAUCAUCAUCCCCACCAGCUAAUAAAGAGUUUCUGUAGGACAUGAGAGGAAGCCACACAUCUUCUCUUCGUAGAGACAUCUGAAAGGUCAUAAACUUCUCCAAGUAAACAUACACUGUUCUUUUGUCUUGUCUGAGAAGUUUGGAGGAAAACUCACUCAGAAUAUCAAGAAAUGCCAAAUUCAGAGGUGGGUGGCUCUCACCUUGUGGAUUAGGCUCCUUAAAGGCAAAUUCUAUGCCGUCCUUGUGUAACAUAGCAAUAGCUUCUCUUGUUUUCAACUGAUCCAGUCCAAAUGUUAAAGCAAAACGUCGAGCAAGCUCCUUUAUGCCGCUGAAUGUCGGUGAUGAUCUGUCAAAAUUAUAACCAUUUUCUUGAAUCAUUUCAUUGAAAAGCUGCUGCAAGCUAAGAAUAAGUGUUUUAGCACACUGGAUUUUGUCUAUCUGUCUUGUUUUACUCAUUGUUUCUUUAAUAAUAUCACCGUAGUCAUUGUAAUACUUCAUAUAUUGCUUGAAAAUGUCUGCAGCAGUAUUCAUUUCCACCACAGUAUAUACAAUGAGUUUACAGAAAGCUGCAAGUAGAUUUCUUCUUUUGUGCAAUGCUUCAAUUUUACUAGCUUCAUCAUCCUGCUGUCCAUCUGCACUAUUAUUAUCAUCAUCCUGAUCAAUGAAGACAUGAUCUAAAAUAAAACUGAGUAGCUCAGAUUGCAGUGAAGAAUCAGGAGUGUAAACAAGUGGUUCCAACAUGUCACGUCCUCCUGUCAUAAUCUGAUGGCUGAAGAUCAUCAACACAUCACACAGAAUUGUG